GCCGAGGGAGGAGGCGCGCGCACCGAGUGGAGCGCCAGGGAGGGCUUCGCCGCCGUCUCCCUCCCUCCGCGGCUUGACCCGGUAGUGAAGGCGCUGGGAGAGGCAGGCCCCGGGCCGCCCUGCAGCCUGCGGGAGGAGGCGGGAGCCGGGAAGGAGGGGAGCGGAGGCCCGACAUGGGCAGGCCGGUGAAGAGAGCCGGGAUCCCUGGGUGGACCUGUCUUCAGCUUCCCUGUGAGCCGGGCUGCUAGCCUGCAGGACGCCCCGACUUGCCCACACCCCAACACUGGACAAAGCAGAAAUCCGGGGAACCCGAUGCCGAGCCUGGUGGCCCAUCUACAGCACAGUCUUCUGGGGCUCCAUCCUGCCACAAGGAAGCUGGAGUUCGGGGUCCCAGCAUGGAACUGCAGAGGGCCUGGCAGGCGGAGCCCGUGGAGAGACUUCACUAUUGGCUCGCUCCACUUUUUACAGUCUUUCAUUCCUCGCAAAGUUCUCAGAAGUGCCCCUCCGAUAGAGGAAAGUUAGAGGAAGGAGUCUGGUCGUCCUGGAUGCAAGAAUAAGGUAUGGCCUACUACCUUCCUUUCUGUAUGAUCUGGGCAAACCGACCGGUGGUGGCAAGAGUAGUGUCAAUGAAGUGAUCCACACAGCAAGAGAGGCAGUUUCAGUGCGGGAGUCUAGCUGAUUUCCUGGCUUCUCCAUGCACUUAUCUCAACAUAGUUCCACGAAGUGAUGCACCUGCGCAGUGAACCCUGCCUUCUGCUGCUCGACAGCCACCAGGCUUUGUAACUCAGUUUCACCAAGCUCUGCCAUUGUCAGCGUCAAGAGCUUCGCUGUGGUACGCAUGCGUGGUCCUGAAAGCAACUUUUGCACUUUAUCAUCAACUCUAAGAUACUCAGGGGCUUCUAUCAAUGAUGAGACACAUCUGCAGAAACCCAUACUCCUUCCAUAGGAUCACACGAUCCUUGUCCAAGGGCGAACACACAGAACAUUGUUCAAACCAUACCAAUCCUGACCGGAGAGAACAGAGACAAACUGACUCACAGGAGAGAGGACCUAAGUACUUUAAUACAUUUUUUGAAAUUAUUAUAAAUUAUUUUACAAUAUCCAGAGCAAAUGAAACUAAUUUAAAAUAUUUUGUAAUACACAAGUCCCCAG
rnacentral:lncRNA from 1 species